GGAUGAGCCCGCGGCCUAUCAGCUUGUUGGUGUGGUAAUGGCGCACCAAGGCUUUGACAGGUAGCCGGCCUGAGAGGGUGGACGGCCACAUUGGGACUGAGAUACGGCCCAGACUCCUACGGGAGGCAGCAGUGGGGAAUAUUGCACAAUGGGCGGAAGCCUGAUGCAGCGACGCCGCGUGGGGGAUGACGGCCUUCGGGUUGUAAACCUCUUUCGCUAGGGACGAAGCUUUUGUGACGGUACCUAGAUAAGAAGCACCGGCUAACUACGUGCCAGCAGCCGCGGUAAUACGUAGGGUGCGAGCGUUGUCCGGAAUUACUGGGCGUAAAGAGCUCGUAGGUGGUUUGUCGCGUCGUCUGUGAAAUUCCGGGGCUUAACUCCGGGCGUGCAGGCGAUACGGGCAUAACUUGAGUACUGUAGGGGAGACUGGAAUUCCUGGUGUAGCGGUGAAAUGCGCAGAUAUCAGGAGGAACACCGGUGGCGAAGGCGGGUCUCUGGGCAGUAACUGACGCUGAGGAGCGAAAGCAUGGGUAGCGAACAGGAUUAGAUACCCUGGUAGUCCAUGCCGUAAACGGUGGGCGCUAGGUGUAGGGGUCUUCCACGACUUCUGUGCCGUAGCUAACGCAUUAAGCGCCCCGCCUGGGGAGUACGGCCGCAAGGCUAAAACUCAAAGGAAUUGACGGGGGCCCGCACAAGCGGCGG
rnacentral:rRNA from 1 species